GUCAUAGACCCCACGCCUAAAGGCGGGGGCUUGGCCGGGAGGUAACUCCCGGGCAGGUCUCCACUUUAGGUGGAAAGCUGCUCUCCGGAGCAGCGCUAUGACCCGCCUCAGUGUGGGAGCCUGCGGAUCGGGCGGUUGAACCACGCUGCGUUAAGGGGGCCAGCACACCCUGGGAUGCUUCUCCAGUUCCAGGCCCUGUG
rnacentral:sRNA from 20 species